GAUCAUGGCUCAGGAUGAACGCUGGCGGCGUGCUUAACACAUGCAAGUCGAACGGGAAACCUUUUAAUGAAGCUUCGGCAGAUUUAGCUGGUUUCUAGUGGCGGACGGGUGAGUAACGCGUGGGUAACCUGCCUUAUACAGGGGGAUAACAGUCAGAAAUGACUGCUAAUACCGCAUAAGCGCACAGGGCCGCAUGGCCCGGUGUGAAAAACUCCGGUGGUAUAAGAUGGACCCGCGUUGGAUUAG
rnacentral:rRNA from 1 species